rnacentral:rRNA from 1 species
AACGGCCGUACCAUGCUGAAUAUACCGGCGGUUCUCGUUAGAUCACCGAAGUUAAGCAUCAUUGGGCGCGGUCAGUACUUGGGUGGGUGACCACCUGGGAAAACUGCGUGCCGUU